rnacentral:rRNA from 1 species
AUACGGAGGGUGCAAGCGUUGUUCGGAAUUACUGGGCGUAAAGCGCGUGUAGGCGGCUUGGCAAGUCGGAUGUGAAAGCCCGGGGCUCAACCCCGGAACUGCAUCCGAAACUGCCUAGCUAGAGUCCCGGAGAGGAAGGCAGAAUUCCCAGUGUAGGGGUGAAAUCCGUAGAUAUUGGGAGGAAUACCAGUGGCGAAGGCGGCCUUCUGGACGGUGACUGACGCUCAGACGCGAAAGCGUGGGGAGCAAACAGGAUUAGAAACCCCGGUAGUCC